UAAUGAUGAUGAUGAUGACGAUGGUGGUGAUGGUGGUGGCGAGUGAUGAUGUGGGAACACCAAUCUCAUCAUCAUCGUCGUCGUGGUUA
rnacentral:pre_miRNA from 1 species